UACGAGGGGGGCAAAUGUUGUUCGGAAUCACUGGGCGUAAAGGGAGCGUAGGCGGGUUCUUAAGUUAGGUGUUUAAUCCCGGGGCCCAACCCCCGGACCGGCACUUAAAACUGGGAAUCGUUGAAAUAGUGGAGAGGUCGGUGGAAUUGGGGGUGUAGCGGUGGAAUGCGUAGAGAUCCCCAAGAACACCAGUUGCGAAGGCGGCCGACUGGACACAUAUUGACGCUGAGGCUCGAAAGCAUGGGGAGCAAACAGG
rnacentral:rRNA from 1 species